rnacentral:rRNA from 1 species
AGCUCCAAUAGCGUAUACUAACGUUGUUGUGGUUAAAAAGCUCGUAGUUGGAUUUCUGGUGUGGUGCGCCUGAUCCGAAAGCCUUUGCGCUUUUGAGUAUCGGAGCGCGCCUACCAUCUUUCUAGAGAGUGUUCCUUCCUUUCAUUAGGCGGGCGCACAAUCUGGAUCGUUUACUUUGAAUAAAUUAGAGUGUUUAAAGCAGGCUUACGCUGUGAAUACAUUAGCAUGGAAUAAUAAGAUAGGACUUUGGUUCUAUUUUGUUGGUUUCUAGGACUGAAGUAAUGAUUGAUAGGGAUAGUUGGGGGUGCUAGUAUUUGACGGCCAGAGGUGAAAUUCAGUGAUUCGUCAAAGACUAACUAAUGCGAAAGCAUUCACCAAGGAUGUCUUCUUUAAUCAAGAA